rnacentral:piRNA from 1 species
AGUGGAAUUUUGAUGGCUCUAGU